rnacentral:rRNA from 1 species
GCCGCGGUAUUUUGACCGUGCAAAGGUAGCGCAAUCACUUGUCUCUUAAAUAGAGACCUGUAUGAAUGGCUAGACGAGGGCUUAACUGUCUCCCCCUUCCAGUCAGUGAAAUUGAUCUAUCCGUGCAGAAGCGGGUGUAAUUAUACAAGACGAGAAGACCCUUUGGAGCUUAAGGUACAAAGUUCAACCACGUUAAACGACUCCACAGAAAGCGAGAACUUAGUGGCAAAUGAAACUUUACCUUCGGUUGGGGCGACCACGGAGGAGAAGAGAGCCUCCGAGUGGACUGGGCUAAAUCCCCAAAGCCAAGAGAUACAUCUAUAAGCCGCAGAACAUCUGACCAAAAAUGAUCCGACUGAAAGGCCGAUCAACGAACCAAGUUACCCUAGGGAUAACAGCGCAAUCCUCUCCCAGAGUCCAUAUCGACGAGGGGGUUUACGACCUCGAUGUUGGAUCAGGACAUCCUAAUGGUGCAGCCGCUAUUAAGGGUUCGUUUGUUCAACGAUUAAAGUCCUACGUGAUCU